rnacentral:rRNA from 1 species
UACAGAGGGUGCAAGCGUUGUUCGGAAUCAUUGGGCGUAAAGGGCGCGUAGGCGGUUGUGCAAGUCAAAUGUGAAAGCCCAGGGCUCAACCUUGGAAGUGCAUCUGAAACUGCGCAACUAGAGUCUCGGAGAGGGUGGUAGAAUUCCCAGUGUAGAGGUGAAAUGCGUAGAGUAUUCGCAAGAACACCAGUGGCGAAGGCGGCUCACUGGCCCGAUACU